rnacentral:sRNA from 1 species
UUAUGUCGGUCUGUGGCACAGUGAAGGGG